GAUGAACGCUGGCGGCGUGCUUAACACAUGCAAGUCGAACGGAAAGGCCCAAGCUUGCUUGGGUACUCGAGUGGCGAACGGGUGAGUAACACGUGGGUGAUCUGCCCUGCACUUCGGGAUAAGCCUGGGAAACUGGGUCUAAUACUGGAUAGGACCACUUCUUGGAUGUUGUGGUGGAAAGUUUUUUCGGUGUGGGAUGAGCUCGCGGCCUAUCAGCUUGUUGGUGGGGUAAUGGCCUACCAAGGCGUCGACGGGUAGCCGGCCUGAGAGGGUGUACGGCCACAUUGGGACUGAGAUACGGCCCAGACUCCUACGGGAGGCAGCAGUGGGGAAUAUUGCACAAUGGGCGCAAGCCUGAUGCAGAGACGCCGCGUGGGGGAUGACGGCCUUCGGGUUGUAAACUCCUUUCGCUAGGGACGAAGCGUUUUGUGACGGUACCUGGAGAAGAAGCACCGGCUAACUACGUG
rnacentral:rRNA from 1 species